AUUGAACGCUGGCGGCAGGCCUAACACAUGCAAGUCGAACGGAGCGGGGGACGGGUGAGUGAGUCCUAUGUAUCUGACUGGUCGUGGGGGAUGGCGUACGGAUACGGGAGCUAGUACAGCCUCCUUUCCGAUGAGUCUAGGUCGGUGUAGCUAGUUGGUAGGUGAAAGGCCCACCAAGGCGACGAUCCGUAACUGGUCUGAGAGGAUGAUCAGUCACACUGGAACUGAGACACGGUCCAGACUCCUACGGGAGGCAGCAGUGGGGAAUAUUGCACAAUGGGCGCAAGCCGGAUGCAGCCAUGCCGCGUGUGUGAAGAAGGUCUUCGGAUUGUAAAGUACUUUAAGCUGGGAGGCGUUACCCACAGAAUAAGCACCGGCUAACUUCGUGCCAGCAGCCGCGGUAAUUC
rnacentral:rRNA from 1 species